AUGGAGAGCGUUUUCCGAUCCGGAAGUGGGCAGCGGUUCACCUCUCCUCACGGGCGGGGCCCCACCACCCUAUUUCACCGCCAACCGCACGAACCCCAUCCCUCCUCGCCUCUCUCUCUCUUCCUUUCUUCCUCUCUGUGGCGGCGGGUCGGCGCUCCCACCAAGCAGCAGUGGACACCGGCGGUUUGCGCGGCGCGGCGGCGGGGAGCGGCGGCAGACCGGCCGUGCGGCGGCAGGCCAUCGGGCUCCGUCAAGGUUGCUAAAAUGGAUAAGCUCAAGGGCUCUGCGCGUCUUAUGAUUGUUUCAGAUCUCGAUCACACAAUGGUUGAUCAUCAUGACGAAGAGAACUUGUCUUUGCUUAGGUUUGGGGCCCUUUGGGAGUCUGUUUACUGUCAGGAUUCUCUUCUUGUCUUUUCAACAGGAAGAUCACCUACUCUGUAUAAGGAAUUGAGGAAAGAGAAGCCUAUGCUAACUCCAGACAUCACUAUUUUGUCUGUGGGCUCUGAGAUAACUUAUGGUGAAGCCAUGGUCCCUGAUCAUGGCUGGGAGGAAUAUUUGAACAAUAAGUGGGACAGGAAUAUUGUUCUUGAGGAGACAGCUAAGUUUUCUGAGCUGAAGCUUCAGGUAGAGACAGAACAGCGUCCACAUAAGGUCAGCUUUUUGGUUGACAAGAAGAAUGCUCAAGGAGUGAUCAAGUCUCUCUCCGAGACGUUUGAGAAACGUGGGGUAGAUGCGAAAAUAAUCUACAGUGGUGGCCAGGAUCUUGACAUAUUAGCUCAAGGGGCUGGAAAGGGUCAAGCACUUGCAUAUUUGCUCAAGAAGUUAGGUUCAUGCGGAAAAACACCCAACAAUACUCUUGCUUGUGGUGACUCUGGUAAUGAUGCAGAAUUAUUCAGUAUCCCUGGUGUACAUGGUGUCAUGGUUAGCAAUGCCCAAGAGGAACUACUCCAGUGGCAUGCAGAAAAUGCGAAGGAUAAUCCUAAGAUAAUUCAUGCAACUGAGAGGUGUGCUGCUGGUAUUAUUCAAGCUAUUGGGCACUUCAAGCUAGGACCUAAUGUUUCUCCAAGAGACGUUGAGUUUCCUUACAUCAAGGAGGACCCUUUCAAGCCUACAGUGGCCAUUGUGAAGUUCUAUGUUCUGUACGAAAAGUGGCGUAGAGCUGAUGUUCCAAAGGCUGAUUCAGUUAUACAGUACUUCAAAAACAUCACAGAUGCAAAUGGAGUUAUUAUUCAUCCGUCUGGGGUCGAACUUUCGAUCCAUUCAUCCAUUGAUGAGCUGGCUUCAUGUUAUGGUGACAAACAAGGGAAAAAGUACCGAUCAUGGGUGGACAGACUAGUUAUCUUGCAGACUGCUUCUGACAGUUGGCUUGUGAGAUUCGACUUGUGGGAGGCAGAAGGUGCUGCGUGGGUGUGCUGUUUUACAACUCUUGCGCUGAAUGUAAAGCCUGAAUCCCCUGGGGGUUUUGUGGUAACACACAUUCACAAGACGUGGCGUAAAGAAUAUCCCGGGGUCGAGCAGUCAUCCAAACUCUAG
rnacentral:rRNA from 1 species